rnacentral:rRNA from 1 species
GAAUCUGCCCUGUCGUGGGGGAUAACGUAGGGAAACUUACGCUAAUACCGCAUACGACCUACGGGUGAAAGUGGGGGACCUUCGGGCCUCACGCGAUAGGAUGAGCCGAUGUCGGAUUAGCUAGUUGGUGGGGUAAAGGCCCACCAAGGCGACGAUCCGUAGCUGGUCUGAGAGGAUGAUCAGCCACACUGGGACUGAGACACGGCCCAGACUCCUACGGGAGGCAGCAGUGGGGAAUAUUGGACAAUGGGCGCAAGCCUGAUCCAGCCAUGCCGCGUGUGUGAAGAAGGCCUUCGGGUUGUAAAGCACUUUUGUUGGGGAAGAAAACUGCGUGGUUAAUACCCGAGCAGGCUGACGGUACCCAAAGAAUAAGCACCGGCUAACUUCGUGCCAGCAGCCGCGGUAAUACGAAGGGUGCAAGCGUUACUCGGAAUUACUGGGCGUAAAGCGUGCGUACGCGGUUUGUUAAUCAGAUGUGAAUCCCCGGGGCUCAACCUGGGGAACUGCAUUUGAAACUGGCAGGCUAAGUACGUAGAGGUGGUGGAAUUCCCGGUGU